rnacentral:sRNA from 1 species
AUAAUAUUAUUCGUGCCGUAGACAGCAGGUGCCUUUAGGCGUAACGUGAAUACCUGCCGAGGAUACAAUAUUAUUUGUAUUUUUCACUCUGUCUAUGCGACAGAGUUUUUUUAU